rnacentral:lncRNA from 1 species
ACAGUCAUAUAAUGAUGUCCUCAUUCUAAGCCUAUUUUCUGUCCCCUUUGUCUUUGAGGCCUGCAGAGAAUCAUCAAAUAUGCCUGUGAUGCUGGUCUAAUUUUGGAGGCUUAAUCCAGUAGACUCAAUAGACUUUGCAAAGCAGGAUUUUUUAAGAAGAGCUACCUACAACCUUAUUUGCCUAUUUCCCAAAGUGCUGAUAAAUCUUGUUGCAAAAGGGAGCAGCCACUCUUGAGCAGUGUGUCCAGGUUUCCCUCUCUCUGAAGCAUGUGGUGUUGGGUGAGUCUUGGCCACCUGAAAAGGACAGAAAUCUCUACUGUAAAGUGAAGGAUACAGCUGAACCACCAUCUCAUAAGGUGAGAAUUAGUUCCAUUCAUGGAUUGUGCGGAUGUUUGACUUUAAUAGUGUUGUGAGCAAU